rnacentral:rRNA from 1 species
GACGAACGCUGGCGGCGUGCUUAACACAUGCAAGUCGAACGAAGAGCGACGGAAGCUUGCUUCUAUCAAUCUUAGUGGCGAACGGGUGAGUAACGCGGAAUCAACCUGCCCUUCAGAGGGGGACAACAGUUGGAAACGACUGCUAAUACCGCAUACGAUCUAAUCUCGGCAUCGAGGAUGGAUGAAAGGUGGCCUCUACAUGUAAGCUAUCACUGAAGGAGGGGAUUGCGUCUGAUUAGCUAGUUGGAGGGGUAACGGCCCACCAAGGCGAUGAUCAGUAGGCGGUCUGGGAGGAUGGACGGCCACAUUGGGACUGAGACACGGCCCAGACUCCUACGGGAGGCAGCAGUGAGGAAUCUUCCGCAAUGGACGGAAGGCUGACGGAGCAACGCCGCGUGAGUGAUGACGGCCUUCGGGUUGUAAAGCUCUGUUAAUCGGGACGAAAGGCCUUCUUGCGAAAAGUGAGAAGGAUUGACGGUACCGGAAUAGAAAGCCACGGCUAACUACGUG